GGGAGACAGCGGGCAGCGCCAGAGGAGGAGGACGCGGGAAGAUGGAGCUGCCCACGGCCUGCAGUCCGUGCCUCUCUGCCCGCGCGGGGACCACACAGUUGGAGAGGCUGCCGGGCACCGGCGCGGGCGAUGCUCAGCAUGGACCUCCGGCCGGCCAGCCUGGGCUUGUUUUCCCGGUAGUACUGGGUUCUGAGAGAGAGUAACUGCAUGGAAGGCCUUGAAGACUGGGCUUGGGCCUGCUGUACCCACAUGACUGCUUCUGCCACGUUCUACUGGCCAAGCUCUAUGGGCAGCUCAGACACAAGGGAAGAGACUCUGCUGCUUCCUGGGAGAAGCUGCAAGACCACAUUGCGAAGGAACAUGUUGUUGCUGCUCCCAUGUUACCUUCGUCAGUGACCUGAGAUGCAGACUGGAUCUAGGGAAUGGUGUUUCCUGUGUGAUGCCUUCCAGGAGUAUCUGCACCACGGGCAGUGCCAGGCCGAGGACAGAGGGCCUAAUGGAGGACACUCUACAACUCCAUCCUGCUGCUGGGGGGGCUUGGGGGCGCCUCCACGAGGGUCUUCAGAGGAAAGGCAUGUGUGUGGUCUGUGGCCUGCCAGCAGGAGAGCUGGGGGAGGCCGGCAUCUUGAGGCUGUUGGCAGCAAGUGCAGGCAGAGGCCUCGGGCCAGAGGGGAGGUGGCAGGGCUCAGGUGCCCUGUGCUUCCUCGGAGAAGGCACUUGGGAUGAAGGCUUAGUCCUGCCUGGUAAACCUGGAGGCCUGUGAACACUGGGGUUAGCCCCAACAAGGGAGGAGGUUCCCGCUGCCUCACUAAGAACAGCCUGCUGCUACACUCACCCUGACAGCUGCUCCGCUCCCAGUGAACCCCACCCCGAGAAGGCUCAUCGGGGCCACGGACCUCCCUCAGCGCUGCAUUCAGAAUCCCUCAGGAGUUGUAAACUUCCUGAUUUCUGGACCCAUCACCAGAGCCCAACGUCACGGGUAAGGGUUAGGGCCUGGAUGUCAGGAUUCAAUUUGGAGAAUUCCCCGGGGCAAUUCCACCAUUGCAGACACUGAAACGGAGCUGGGGCAGAAGAAUCACACCAGGUGGCUCGAGCUGAGCGGCUGGGAGUGUGGCAGUGAAGACACUGAGUGUCCGUCAGGGAAGAUGGCUCUGGGUACAACAGCGUGCCCAGCCCCUUAGAUAUUCUCUGCACGGAAGUGGCCCCACCCUGAAGCGCGUGUGCAGUGACUGUUCAUGCUUCUGUGUGUGUGCAGGAGUAGUUUGGUUGGAGUGUGCAUAUGCGAAUGUGUGUGUAUGGAAGUCUAUCUAUCUGUAAUGUAAAGCAGUUGCGUAAUGCAAAUGUGUGUGUAUGGACAUCUAUCUGUAAUGCAAAGCAGUUGCGUAAUGCAAAUGUGUGUGUAUGGAUGUCUAUCUAUCUGUAAUGUAAAGUUCCCAAGUAUUGUGUAUAUCAUUGUUUGAGUUUUUAAAUUCUAAGAUAAUUUCUAGAGAAAAAGAUGUACGGGUGAUUCCUGGUGAAAAGCAGGGACCGUGGGCCUCAUAUUGAGACACAUUUCACGCUGUUUAGAUUGUAAUGGCAAUUAUGUAUGACUUUUGUACGUUUUUUAAAAAGCCAAUAAAAUACAUUUUAAAAUGUGGAAUUA
rnacentral:lncRNA from 10 species